GAUUGCCUAGAGCCUCUUUAAUUGUUUUUACUACAGGUGAAACAAUCCUAAUUGGGGAUGCUCACUUAGGGAAAGCAAACCCACCCAGACACAUUCAGGAAGAAGCAACCUCCCAAAUUAUACUCACACAUCCCCUUUUUUAGGAUGCGCACAAAGCUUAUUCUCUGGACUGCAAACUGAACUCUUCUGCUGAAAUGGUUUUUGUUCCCCUCGCAAAGUCUCUACCAGGUCAACAGACAAGAAAAGUAUUCUAAGAUGCUUUGAGAUCCUCUGAACAGCUCACUCUCACCUCAAGCCUGGUGGCAAAGCUUGUUGGCACAGAGGAAAACAGAAGGAAAAAAAAUUCCCCGGCGUGUAGUCUUUCCAAUCCCUUGUUGGCCUCAUUCCUUCAAAUGCAAAAAAGUUAUACCAGUUCUUUCAGGCAUUACCUAUUUCUAUAUUGCUCAUGGCAUGACAGAAGACACCUAUGGCACAUACAAUAAAAAAUCAAAAGGAAAUAAAGUAGAAGAUGGUGUGCUUUGAUCUGCAAUCAGACUCCAGCAGUUCCUCCUUUGGCUGUGGAGAGUAUUUUUCAUUAUGAGUCCCUUCUGGAUAUCGUUAAUUAUUAUUAUUACUAGGAUUGGGAAGGGAAAGGGGAGGGAAAUAAACCUUUCUAUGGUGCCUACUGUGUGCCA
rnacentral:lncRNA from 1 species